UAGUGGUGCGGCCUGGGCUGGGCUCCAAGACUGGAUCUAUGUCCAAACAGGAGCUUGAUGAUAUCCUCAAAUUUGGCACUGAGGAACUAUUCAAGGAUGAAGCCACUGAUGGAGGAGGAGACAACAAAGAGGGAGAAGAUAGCAGUGUUAUCCACUACGAUGAUAAGGCCAUUGAACGGCUGCUGGACCGUAACCAGGAUGAGACUGAAGACACAGAAUUGCAGGGCAUGAAUGAAUAUUUGAGCUCAUUCAAAGUGGCCCAGUAUGUGGUACGGGAAGAAGAAAUGGGGGAAGAGGAGGUAGAACGGGAAAUCAUUAAACAGGAAGAAAGUGUGGAUCCUGACUACUGGGAGAAAUUGCUGCGGCACCAUUAUGAGCAGCAGCAAGAAGAUCUAGCCCGAAAUCUGGGCAAAGGAAAAAGAAUCCGUAAACAGGUCAACUACAAUGAUGGCUCCCAGGAGGACCGAGAUUGGCAGGACGACCAGUCCGACAACCAGUCCGAUUACUCAGUGGCUUCAGAGGAAGGUGAUGAAGACUUUGAUGAACGUUCAGAAGCUCCCCGUAGGCCCAGUCGUAAGGGCCUGCGGAAUGAUAAAGAUAAGCCAUUGCCUCCUCUGUUGGCCCGUGUUGGUGGGAAUAUUGAAGUACUUGGUUUUAAUGCUCGUCAGCGAAAAGCCUUUCUUAAUGCAAUUAUGCGAUAUGGUAUGCCACCUCAGGAUGCUUUUACUACCCAGUGGCUUGUAAGAGACCUGCGAGGCAAGUCAGAGAAAGAGUUCAAGGCAUAUGUCUCUCUUUUCAUGCGGCAUUUAUGUGAGCCGGGGGCAGAUGGGGCUGAGACCUUUGCUGAUGGUGUCCCCCGAGAAGGCCUGUCUCGCCAGCAUGUCCUUACUAG
rnacentral:sRNA from 1 species